rnacentral:rRNA from 1 species
UACGAAGGGGGCUAGCGUUGCUCGGAAUCACUGGGCGUAAAGCGCACGUAGGCGGCUUACUAAGUCAGGGGUGAAAUCCUGGAGCUCAACUCCAGAACUGCCUCUGAUACUGGUGAGCUUGAGUCCGGAAGAGGUGAGUGGAACUGCGAGUGUAGAGGUGAAAUUCGUAGAUAUUCGCAAGAACACCAGUGGCGAAGGCGGCUCACUGGUCCGGUACUGACGCUGAGGUGCGAAAGCGUGGGGAGCAAACAGG